CAUGUCGCUGCACUACCUUGCUUGAGGGCCUCUACUGGCUGCAGGCUUCGUGAGAAGAACCCUAGGAGACCUUCAAGCUACGAAAUGCAGGCUGAUUUGACAUGUUCCAUGCAACUCGUGACCUAGGUAGGGUGGCCGAAGACCUGCCUGUCUGCAGUGGGC
rnacentral:lncRNA from 1 species